UCCAGUGUAGCAUAGUAGUUUGAGUGUUGGACUUUGGCUCUGGAGAUCAGGGUUCAAUUCCCAGCUCAGCCA